GACGAACGCUGGCGGCGUGCUUAACACAUGCAAGUCGAACGGAAAGGCCCUGCUUUUGUGGGGUGCUCGAGUGGCGAACGGGUGAGUAACACGUGAGUAACCUGCCCUUGACUUUGGGAUAACUUCAGGAAACUGGGGCUAAUACCGGAUAGGAGCUCCCGCUGCAUGGUGGGGGUUGGAAAGUUUCGGCGGUUGGGGAUGGACUCGCGGCUUAUCGGCUUGUUGGUGGGGUAGUGGCUUACCAAGGCUUUGACGGGUAGCCGGCCUGAGAGGGUGACCGGCCACAUUGGGACUGAGAUACGGCCCAGACUCCUACGGGAGGCAGCAGUGGGGAGUAUUGCACAAUGGGCGGAAGCCUGAUGCAGCAACGCCGCGUGCGGGAUGACGGCCUUCGGGUUGUAAACCGCUUUCGCCUGUGACGAAGCGUGAGUGACGGUAAUGGGUAAAGAAGCACCGGCUAACUACGUG
rnacentral:rRNA from 1 species